rnacentral:tRNA from 1 species
AAGGAAGUAUUACAGGAACUGCUAACUCCUGUCAACCAUGCAUGACGAACAUGGCUUUCUUA